UGCCCUCUCCAGCUCGUGCUCGCCCUCUCUCUCUCUCUAAAAUAAAAAAUAAAGACAUCAGUCAUAUUGGAGAAGGGCCCACCAUAAUGACCUCAUCUUAAUCACAUCUGCAAAGACCGUAUUUCCAAUAAGAUCACAUGCUGGGGUGCUGGGGGUUAGGACUUUAGCACAUAAUUGGCGGGGGGGGGGGGGACACAGCCCGUUGUGGACUGACUUGUGCCUCCCCAAGUUCAUAUGUUGGAUCCCCGACCCCCAAGGUGGCUAUAUUUGGAGUUAGGGCCUUGAAGGAGGCCUUUAAGGAUAAAUGAGGUCAUGAGAGUGAGGCCCUGAUCCUAUAGGGCCCAUGUCCUACUAAAAAAAUAAAAGAGACACCAGAGAUCUCUUUUUCCACGCACACACGGAGGAGGUGAGGUCACAGCAAGAGGGCGGUGUCUGCGAGCCGGGAAGAGAGUUCUCUCCGACAGCACCUUCCUCUCGGACUCCUGGCCUCCAGGGCUCUGAGAAAAUCGCUCUGUUGUUGAUGUCGCCCAGUCUGUGGCCUUCUGCUCUGCCUCCCGAGCAGGUUAAAACAGAAACCAUAACGGAGGCUUGUCUAUUAAAUCGUCUGUUUCCAGCGACAGAAUCUCAGCUUAAAUCCCCUUAAGCAAAAAGAAAAACUGAACAGUCCGAGAUCCGGUAACACAAGACCCAGGAUUUCCUCUGGCUCUUUCUCUCUCUCUUCUGCGUGUGCCCCUCCUGGCUCCUCUCCCUUCCUGGUGGUUCUGUCCCGGGAUAAGUCUCCUCACCGGCGCCUUCCAUAGGAGGUCAGGCCCGAGGCACCGAGAGACUCAGGCUUCACGGCAACACCCUGGGGGAGGGCAGGGUUGUCCCCCUAGAACACAGGGACUGACGGUGAAGUGCAGAGCUCAAAAAACAAAAGAUUGCAACAAUGAUGACAAAGGGACCCCGGAGUGACAGAAAGAGCUCCCAAUGCCAGCGGUGGAUCAAUCCGAACAACAAAGUAAAUAGCCUCAUAUUGGAUUAUAACCCAAAGUGAAAAAAAAAAAAAAGAAAGAUUCACAAGUUCACAUCGACAUAGAUGAUGGAACAAAUAAACGAAUGUGGGCAAAGAGACAGAUGUCCCGUGCAGAAGAGUUCCAGAUACUGGCUGCAGAUGUUCCACAUUGAAGGGGACGACUCCCCACACUAGUAUGGGCUUCAAGUGACUCCCUUCUGGAGGUGACAGUGUGGAUGCAGCGAGAUCCCGUAACCCCAGCAUAAUCGCGAGAAAGACACACGAGAAAGACACCCAGGAAAAACGCAGUUGGGGGACGUCUUACACAACAUUCAACCAGUCGUCGUCAAAACGUCACGGUCAGAACAACAAGGAAAGUCUAAGAAACUGUCACCACCAAGAGAAGCCUAAAGAGACAAGAUGACUGAAUGUAAUGUGGGUCCUGGAAGGUGUCCUGGAACAGGAAAAGGACAAUAGGGAAAAACUAACGGAAUCUGAAUGAAGUACGGAAUUUGGUCCAUAACAAUAUAUCAACACAGGCUCGAUAAAUGUGACAAAUGUACCAUAUCAUCAAUAGCAAGGGACACCGCGUGGAGUAUACAGGAACUCUCUGUACUAUCUUCAUAAUAAUUGAGUAGCUGUGAAAGUCCUCAAAUAAAAGGUUUAUUGAAAACUAAAUAAAAUUGGGAGGCGCCUGGGUGGUUGAGUCAGUUAAGCGUCCAAUUCUUGACUUCAGCUCAGGUCAUGGCCUCAUGAUCUCAUGCGUUGGGCUCCACACUGAACGUGGGGCCUGCUUAAGAUUCUCUCUCUGUCUCCCUCUUUCUCAAAAUAAAAUAAAUAAGUAAACAUUAAUCCUGAAUAAAAUUGGAACCAGGUCCUGUAAUGAAUGGUUAAUUCCAUGUCAACUUGACUGGCCACGUUAAACGUUAUUUCGUAGGGCGUCUGUGAGGGUGUUUCGGGAUGAGAUCAGCACUUGCCUCAGUGGACUCAGUUCAGCAGAUUGCUACCUGCCCCCAGUGUGGAUGGGCACUGAUGAAGCUGGACACAUGGAGCCCCUACAUUCUGAUGAGUCUUUUGUACCAGUAGAAGGGGUCUCCCCACCCCUCAGCGGCAUUGGCCUCUCCACCUAUAGAGGUAUCGGACUUCCCACCUGCAUCUGAGGGGAUUAACCAAAUAUUUUGUCGGGUGCUCACGAAGCAGAAGUUCUGUACUGAAUGUUGCAGCUUGAGAUGUUAGCAAGGGCCAUCACGGUUCGGACGGUUAAUGGGCUGAAACAUGGGCCAAAACGUGGCCAAAAACACGAAGUUAUUUGUGUCUCCUGUGAAUGCUCACCGAAAGUGACCUCAGCACUGAAGAAUUUUAAUAAGCAAGUACCUAGCUUUUGAUAAUGAAGGGGUGGUCAUUUUCCCCAGCCACCUCUGUCGUCACCAAUGGGCUUGUGAACAGAGCGGCCGUGGUGGCAGGGACGGAGAUGAUGCAUGGUCUGAGCAGCAUGGACUUCCACUCACCAAAGCUGAUCUGGCUACAGCCUGGCAGGGUGCCCAAUCUGCCAGCAACAGAGACCAACGCUGAGCCCCCGGUAUGGCACCGUUUCCUGGGAUGUUCAGCCAGCUGCUACCUGGUGGCAGGUUCAUUAAUUGGACCACUUUCACUGUGGAAGAGGCAGAGUUUCAUUCUUACUGGAAAAGACGUUUACUCUGGGUAUGGAUUUUCCUUCUUGCCACACAUUGCUUUAGCCAAAGCCACCAUCUGUGGACUUACAAAAUGCCUUCUCCACUGUCAUGGUACUCCACGCAUCAUUGCUUCUGGUCAAGGAAUUCCUUUCAAAGCAAAAGACGUGUUGCAAUGGCCCAUGUUCAUGGAAUCCAUUGGUCUUUCCAUGUUCCCCACUAUCCUGAGGCAGCCGGCUUGAGAGUGGGGUAGAAAGGCCCUGGGAAGACUUAGUUACAAGGCAACUAGGUGGUCGUACCUCACAGGGUUGGAACAAGGCUCUCCAGAAGGUUGUCUGUGCUCUGAAGAGCACCCACCAUGUGGUGCCAGUUCUCCCAUAGCCAGGAUCCGCAGAUCUGGGAAUCACGGUGUAGAAGUGGGAAAUGGCACCACUCACUAUUACCCCUAGUGACCCACAAACAAAAGUUUUACUUCCUGUUGCCUCAACUUGAUGUUCUGCUGGCCUAGAGGUCUUACUUCCAGAGGAAAGAAUCCUUCCACCGGCAGACACAACAAUGAUCCUGUUGAACCGGAAGUGAAGUCUGCUAUCCAGGCACUUUGGGCUCCUCAUGCCUCUGAAACAGCAGGCAAGGAAGGGAGAUAUGGUGUUGGCUGGGGUGACUGAUCCUGACCUCAAGGGGAAAUGAGGCCACUCCUCCACAGCGGAGGGAGGGAAGAGUAUGUUUGGAAAACAGGAGAUCCCUAAUGGCGUCUCCUAGUAUCACAUGCCCCGUGGUUAGUGUUCACGAGACUGCCACCACCCAAUCCAGGCAAGACUACGAGUGGCCCAGACCCUUCAGGAAUGAAGGCUUGGGUCACCCCACCAUAUAACAGACCAUGACCAGCUAAGGUGCUUGCUAAGGCAAAGGGAAUAAGAACGGGUAGUAGAAGGAAGUUGUUAUAAAUACCAGCCAUGACCACAUGACCAGUUACAGAGACAAGGACUGUGAUUGCCAUGAGUAUUUCCUCCUUAUUUUUCUAUGAAUGUGUAUGUGUGCGUACGUGUGUUCUUUCCUCUCUUAUUUCCUUGUCAUGUAACAUAAGACAUGUUGACUUUAUAUCAUAGUAUUUAAGUUUUGUUAAUUUUACAUCAUGGUAUUUAUGUCACAGAAGAUCAAGGAGAAGUGUAAACAUCACUCAAGGACUUUACCUCGUCUUCUGGGGAGGGAGUGGGAGUGUUUUCUGUUGUACACAGAAUAGCCGUAUCGCGUGGGCAGAAUCACGACCUUGUUCAUGUUUAUUUGGAGAUAAGUAUGGUUUAGGAGAUAGGUGCCAAUUCGACAAAGGAUAGACUUGUGAAGGUUAGUUUUAUGUGUCAGCUUGCCUGACCAUGGGGUGCCCAGAUGAAACAUUAUUUCUGAGUGUCUAAGAGGGUGUUUUGGGGUGAGAUUAGCAUCUGAAUCGGUGGACUCAGUAAAUUGCCCUCCAUAAUGUGGGUGCCCACCACCCGAUCCAUUGAUGGCCUGAAUAGAACAAAAGGUGGGAAAGGGAGGAAUUUCUCCCUUUUCUCCUGCUUCUUUGAGCCGAGACAUCUCCCCUCACCUCCUCUUGCCCUCAGACUGGGAUUUAUACCACUGGCUCGCCAGGUUUUCAGGCCUUCAGACUCUGAACCACACCACCAGCUUUUCGGGGUCUCCAGCGUGCGGACAGCAAACCGUGGGAUUUCUCAGCCUCCAAAACUGUGUCAGCCAAUUCUUCAUAAUAAAUCUCCCUUUAUAUCCAUAAACAUCCUCUUGCUUCCUGCUGGAGAACGCUGAGUGAUUCAGCUCCUUGAAGUAAUGUUGGGCAUUCGAGAAACGUGUCCCUACUAAACAAGCCUAAACUGCACACCGAAAUAAAUUCUGGAUUCUGGAUAGGUGGGGGAUUCAAAUAUAUAUGGAAAUUAAAUGAAACCAUAAAAGUACUAAAUGAAAAAUGGUGGUGAAUGUUUAUAUAAUCUUGAAAUCAAGAAGUUUUUCCUGAAUAACUCCAAAGGCAAAACCCAUAACAGAGAGCUUUUUUUUUUUUUUUAAGUAGGCUUCACAUCCAGCGUGGAGCCCCAUCACACCCAACGUGGAGCCCAACAUGGGGCUUGAACUCACAGCGCUGAGAUCAGGACCUGAGCUGAGACCAAGAGUCAAACGCUCAACUGACGGAGCCACCCAGAAGCCCCAAAAAGAUAGCUUUGAGUACAUGAGAUGUAAUCUCUGUAUGGCUGAUAAGAAAAAAUAAUACAGAUGCUAAUAAAAAAAAGCAAAUAAUUAUCUCAUAUUCACUCUAUUGAAUAAGAGUUGUUGUAAACAACUAUUGUUGUAAACCUUUUAUUAAAUCAUUCAGUCCCCAUAACGAGCCUACAAAGUGUUAAUACUAAUCCUAGCUAUAGAUGAAAAAACCAAGACUCUGGUAGGUGAAGGAACGUACCCAAAGUCACACAGCUAGGAAGUGAUAGGGCAUUGUGACCGCGCAUGUGCUCUUAACCACAACAGAGGCCUACACCGGAAAACCUGAGAACAUUUCUUGAACCAGAUACAAAAAGCAAAGAUUAAUAUCUUUGUGACGGUAAUACAUAUAUGCGCUCUUACCAACGAGAAAAAGACAAACACCUCAAUAGAAAAACAGGCAAAGGAAGUAAUGAAAAAAGGCAAUCCACACAGGAAGUAAUUCAGUCAAUGCCUGUUAAAAAAAAAAAAAAAAUCAACCCCACCAGUUAUCAAA